rnacentral:rRNA from 1 species
AGAGUUUGAUCCUGGCUCAGGAUGAACGCUGACAGAAUGCUUAACACAUGCAAGUCUACUUGAUCCUUCGGGUGAAGGUGGCGGACGGGUGAGUAACGCGUAAAGAACUUGCCUUACAGACUGGGACAACAUUUGGAAACGAAUGCUAAUACCGGAUAUUAUGAUUGGGUCGCAUGAUCUGGUUAUGAAAGCUAUAUGCGCUGUGAGAGAGCUUUGCGUCCCAUUAGUUAGUUGGUGAGGUAACGGCUCACCAAGACGAUGAUGGGUAGCCGGCCUGAGAGGGUGAACGGCCACAAGGGGACUGAGACACGGCCCUUACUCCUACGGGAGGCAGCAGUGGGGAAUAUUGGACAAUGGACCAAAAGUCUGAUCCAGCAAUUCUGUGUGCACGAUGAAGUUUUUCGGAAUGUAAAGUGCUUUCAGUUGGGAAGAAGUCAGUGACGGUACCAACAGAAGAAGCGACGGCUAAAUACGUGCCAGCAGCCGCGGUAAUACGUAUGUCGCAAGCGUUAUCCGGAUUUAUUGGGCGUAAAGCGCGUCUAGGCGGCUUAGUAAGUCUGAUGUGAAAAUGCGGGGCUCAACCCCGUAUUGCGUUGGAAACUGCUAAACUAGAGUACUGGAGAGGUAGGCGGAACUACAAGUGUAGAGGUGAAAUUCGUAGAUAUUUGUAGGAAUGCCGAUGGGGAAGCCAGCCUACUGGACAGAUACUGACGCUAAAGCGCGAAAGCGUGGGUAGCAAACAGGAUUAGAUACCCUGGUAGUCCACGCCGUAAACGAUGAUUACUAGGUGUUGGUGGGUAAGACCCAUCGGUGCCGCAGCAAACGCAAUAAGUAAUCCACCUGGGGAGUACGUUCGCAAGAAUGAAACUCAAAGGAAUUGACGGGGACCCGCACAAGCGGUGGAGCAUGUGGUUUAAUUCGAAGCAACGCGAAGAACCUUACCAAGUCUUGACAUCCCACUGACCGGACAGUAAUGUGUCCUUUCCUUCGGGACAGUGGUGACAGGUGGUGCAUGGUUGUCGUCAGCUCGUGUCGUGAGAUGUUGGGUUAAG